rnacentral:tmRNA from 1 species
AUCUAAAUGCGAACGAUAACUUCGCUGAAGAAGUCCGUUUGGCCGCGUAAGCGACCCGAUAGAUUUCGACCUAAACUCCUAGCGUCUUAGCAGCGCUAGGCGGGGCCCGGAGGGCGCCUUGCAACAGAAGCCCUCCACC